GUAACGAGCAUCUUACCAUGAUGAGUGUGAUAAUCAUUUUUCUUUCAACAGGGCCCCUGAAUGCGAGCCAACUGCUUCAUUUGGUUCUCAGCUGAAGAAAUAGAUCUGUUCCUAUGCCGGAGAGAAAACCAGAUGUCCUGGAUUGAGAAAUGCUUCCUCACCGUGACUGUUUUUCUGUUGAACAGCGAUGAGUGGUGGUAGGCAUUUUCGAUAUCUGGCUAAAGAGAAGUUGAGUUGGGGAACAUGAAGUUUGGAUUGAGCGGCAUAUAUUUCUGCAGUUUGCAGAAUUUCCAUGUUUAGUUAGGUUAUUAUUAGGCCUCCUGGUGUAGGAACGGCUUCCAGGAAUGCUCCUUUCCCUACCAUGUCAAUUCAUCUGGUGCCAUCUCAUAAAAGUGCAGGGC
rnacentral:lncRNA from 1 species